rnacentral:tRNA from 1 species
AUUUUCUUAGUAUAUAAGUACAUUUGACUUCCAAUCAAAAAGUCUAAAAAUUCAGAGAAAAUA